UUGGAGGGCAAGUCUGGUGCCAGCAGCCGCGGUAAUUCCAGCUCCAAUAGCGUAUAUUAAAGUUGUUGCAGUUAAAAAGCUCGUAGUUGAAUUUCGGGGUCAGUAGGUUGGUCAUACCACUGGUAUGUACUGGUCUCACUGAUUCCUCCUUCCUGAUGAACUGUAAUGCCAUUAAUUUGGUGUUGCAGGGAAUCUGGACUGUUACUUUGAAAAAAUUAGAGUGUUUAAAGCAGGCUAACGCCUGAAUACAUUAGCAUGGAAUAAUGAAAUAGGACGUUCGAUCCUAUUUUGUUGGUCUCUAGGAUUGACGUAAUGAUUAAUAGGGAUAGUUGGGGGCAUUAGUAUUCAAUUGUCAGAGGUGAAAUUCUUGGAUUUAUUGAAGACUAACUACUGCGAAAGCAUUUGCCAAGGAUGUUUUCAUUAAUCAAGAACGAAAGUUAGGGGAUCGAAGACGAUCAGAUACCGUCGUAGUCUUAACCAUAAACUAUGCCGACUAGGGAUCGGAUGAUGUUAAUUUUUUAAUGACUCAUUCGGCGCCUUACGGGAAAC
rnacentral:rRNA from 1 species